AUGACCCCUUCAGCUCAGUCUUUUUUGAUGAAUAGCCUUCGAGAAAGACUUUCAGUGAAAAAGCGAGAACUCCGUACGUUGAAGGACACAGCCUGCGGAAUUCGUGCUUUUUGCAAGAUUGAAAUCAGGGCAGGUCCAGAAACUGAUGCCCAAUUCCAAUUCACUGGUAUCAAAAAAUAUUUCAACUCUUAUAGUCUCAUGGGUAGAAUGAAUUGUGUACUGGCCACAUAUGGAGGCAUUGCUUUGCUGGUUUUAUACGUCAAGUUAAGGCCUAAAAAAACUCCAGCUGUGAAAGCAACAUAA